UUUUUUUUUUUUUUUUUUUUUUUUUGCUUCUUGGGACGGCAGCUGUGGCAUAUGGAGGUUCCCAGGCUAGGGAAAAAGACAAAAAAAGGAAGUAAAGAGGACAUGACUAUAAUCCAGAAUAUUCUACAGGGUGGGUCUUAAUACUCUUAGGUCCUCUGGCUAAAGAUAAUGGGAAACUAUGGAAACACAAUACAGACAAGACUGCUAAUGACAGAGUUCCUUCAAGAGGAUUGGAGUAUCCCCACUAGACAAAGAACCACAACCAACUGGACCACUUACUGAAGACAAAGAGACUUGAGGAAAUUUUAGUGGAAUAAGAAAAAUAUAAAUACCAAUCAUGGCCAAAUCAUCACUUGUAGAAAAACAGUAUCUGUAGUGAUUAUACUCAUUUUCCUUACUGCUUUGAUUGGUUUAUAUUUACAUAUACGAAUGAGUUAUUCUUUUCUCCUCUUUGUUGAAUUAUCUAACAUUAGAUAUUUUAACAAUGAUUACCUGUCUACUUCAGCAUUUACACUACAGGAUUUGAAAGGGGCGAGUGUAACUUAGUUACAAAUUUUGUAGUACCUUCAAAAUCCCCUUUUGUGCCUGGAAAGUGUGCUUCCUAAAAUUCCUUUCCCUACAUGGUUCUGGAUUAGAGUUUUCCAACGAGAACAACUUCCUUGAGAGUUGGAAGGUAAAGUGCAGCAAAUGAAUUUUUGGAAAGUCAUUAUAAUUCCUUGUGGUAGAUUUCCAGACUUUUUACAAGCUCUCACCUAUCAGUCACAGCGGUUUGAAAAUAACCCCCAAAAAUGGUAUGCUCCUUUCAUUAUUCCUUUUCGGUCUGAAAUUGUGAAUGUUUCUUGAUUCUCUAGCUUCAGCCAUCCAGAUUGAUACUCCUAUAUCUCUUACCAUUUUUGUGAAAGGCUUUUUCUCAUUAUUAAAGAUCGAUUAUACUAUCCACACUUGCAAGGUCUCAAUUCUCUUGAACAAACUCAGACAGGAUACAAUGAGGAAUCCUCCAUUCCUGUUUUACAUUGGUACUCCUGGCCUCUGUGGCAGUACGUCCAGUGAAGUAAGAUUGCUUGUUGAAGAUGGAUACCAGAGAGACUGCUUGGCAAAACCAGAAAUGGUGCCAGAGCACCCGAUUAGCAGGUCCUGUGAAGAAGCAUGGAGGAGAACUAAGGGGAGAUCAGGAAUGUGGAUGGGAAUUAACUGGUGGCAGGCACUCAGGCAUCCAGAACUCACCCUCAGCACCCUGGCACCACGCUGCAAACACAAAUGAUUCUAGACUUCACCUUGCUGGGAGGAAUAAAUGCAAUUACUAACAUUCUUUCCAGCUUUGGUCAGAGGAUAUUCCUAAGAGGUACAGUUGAAGCUACUGAUAGAAUGUAUCAACAAUGCUGCUUCAAAGGGACGGGAAAAGGCAUGGUCUGAAAAUGGGAACGCAAAUAAACCCAGGGUUUUUAGGGAUCAGAGCUAGAGCUAGGGCAAAGUUUACCACCCAUGAUAUUAACACACCAAAUUAUAACCCCCUAAUUCCGUAUUGAAAUUAACAACCAGUGUAUUACUUUGGAUCACAAAGCAAAUAUGCUUCUCAUCUCAAAUCCAAAUUAGGAGUGUAAAGUUUCUCACUUCAUAGAAUUUAUAUUCCUAUCACUAUUUACCAAGCAACCCUGAAACUGAAAUGAUUUAGUCAGCAAGAACAUUCUCUUAUUCUAUUUUAUGGGUGUAAUAAUUUGGCUUAAUUGUCAAUUGUAUAAGUGAUAAGACUUAGAGAACUUACAGUAAUUUGUCCUUUUUAUGGUAGAAACAUUUCACCGUGGCCUAUUUCCAAUGAAGUGACUAAAUGAAGAAACAAUAAUUUUCUUAAAGAGACAUUAAAGAGCAGUUGAAGUAAGCAUCUCUUUUGCGUGUGUAAAUCCUAAAUCAUGUCCUAAUUUUAAAGCCUUCCACAAAAAACAUUGACUGACUAACAUUCUACUUUGGGCACACAGUGAUCGACUUAAAUUAGCAGCCCUCAAAGUUUUGUUCAUACUGCUUGAUGCUGUACUGGUGGCAGAUUCUGCAAUGAGCUGAACUGGAUCCUGCUCUUCUUGUGUACAAAUCAUCACGAUACCCACAAGAAGCAAUCGGAGACCCGACAAUUGUUACUGAACUUUGCGCUCUGUGAAAACACUGCCCAGUUUCAAUUGAUAAACACACUUAUAUAUGUUCACGCCCAUGUACAAAGCCCAUACACCACAUACAGAUACAGGCACAUCACAAAACAGAGAGUAAGUCAGAGGCAUGUGAUUUACUUCCAGCAGGAAAAUCAAAGCAGUUUUCAAUUGACGUGACAGUCCAGACUGUAGCUGAAGCUCCCAAGUCUCCCUCCACUUCUGACAGCCCCAGCAAUGCUCCCCUUGAAGGGAAUCUGUUGACAAGGCAUCUUCUGGACACUUGCUGACAGGGACAAGAAGCUUAUGGGUUUUGAAUGGAAAGGAUUUGCUAAAUAAAGCUUCAAUCCAAGCCUUCACCCCUUUUUCCCCAGAGGUCAGGCCACUAAAGUCCUUGGUAGCUUUGAAAAUCACUAGGGGAACCAAUGAAUUACUUACAUUUUAGAGCUUGCUCCGUGACACUGAUCCCUAGGUAAACCCAGUUAGGAAACUAAGCUCACAUGAUUAUAUUUUUGAAAUGAAAAAGCUUGUUUUUUUGCACCCACCUUAUUAGUGGUGGAUAUUCCUCUCUGAUCCAUUGUCAAUGACUGAUUCUUACCUAAUCUAAACCUCAACACAUCAUCCUGGU
rnacentral:lncRNA from 1 species